AAGUUCCCCCUGACCACCAAGUCAGCCAUGAAGAAGAUAGAAGACAACAAGACACUUGCGUUCAUUGUGGAUGUCAAGGCCAACAAGUACCAGAUCAAACAGGCUGUGAAGAAGCUCUAUGACAUUGAUGUGGCUAAGGUCAAACCCUGAUCAGGCCUCAUGGAGAGAAGAAGGCAUAUGUACGAUGGGCUCCUGACUAUGCUUUGGAUGUUGCUAACAAAACUGGAAUCAUCUAAACAGCCCAGCUGGCUAAUUCUAAAUAUAAAAAUUUUCACUAUUUAAAAAAAAAGGGGUCACAGAAAAGUUCUUCCCAACAUCUGAAAGAACUUGCUUCCCGUAUUUUUUUCAGUGUUAGUCAUUUACAGAGGAAGUAUGAGUCAGACUAUUACAGCUUCACAGCCAGAACCUAUGACACACUUGAAGAAAAUGAAAGUGAUUCUGAAGUUUUUAAAACCUAAUUCUCUAAUGGAAUACUAUUCAGCCAUAAAAAAGCACAAAAUAAUGCCAUUUGCAGCAACAUGGAUGGACCUAGAGAUCAUCAUUCUAAGUGAAGGAAGCCAGAAAGAGAAAGAAAAAUACUAUAUAUUACUCAUAUGUGGAGUCUAAAAGAAAACAAGGACACUAUGAACUCAUCUACAAAACAGAAAUAGACUUGCAGAGACAUAGUAAACAAUCUUGUAGUUACUGGCAGAAAGGGGGCGGCAAGGGAUAAAUUUGGGAGUUUGAGAUUUGCAAAUGUUAGCCACUAUAUAUAAAAACAUAAAAAAAAAGUUUCUUCUGUAUAGCACAAGGAAAUAAAUUCAGUAUCUUGUAAUAACCUUUAAAGACAAUGAAUAUGAAAUGAGUGUAUGUACAUAUAUGCAUAACUGGGACAUUGUGCUGCACAUCAGAAAUUGACACACUGAUUGUACUUCAUUCUCAAUGCACAGCUUUCUUUACACUUUGGGAAAUUUGGGGAUUAUUUACCAGUUUUUGGCUACAUUUUGGACUCUUAACAGAUAUUGGUUAAAACAGAAAGCUCCAACCAAAUUCCCCCAAAUGUUCUAUCAGCUGACUUGCAGUCAUGAACACAUUCACUGACACCAGUUUUGCUCACUAGAUGAUAUGGCUUUUGAAGCUGAGUCUUUUCCUAUUUUUAUUAUUUUUGUUGAUGUAGAACCCAGUAGAAGACGGUGUAAAGGGAUACUCACGCAAAACUCAGACUAGAGAAGACAGAGACCGGAGCACUGUGAAUGUGUACUCAUUCCUGGAUUGAGGUGGUUCUGACUUACUGAGUGCAUUUCAAUUAAAGCAAGUGGUUUUAUGGCCACAAAGAAGACAAAGCUGGAGCUGAGGUCAACAUGCACAAGCCAACCUCAAUCCAUCAGUUUCUUCAUAUUUUACCUUCCUACAAUUUGCUGCCCUGGGAAAUCUCAAAUCCUUUUGUCUUGACACCUGUUUACAAAUUUAUUGUUCUUUUGUUACGAUGCCACUAAGCCCAAGUUCUAACCAUCUCUUUGGUGUUACUCAUCACUGAGUUCUCCCACAUAAAUGUGCAAUGCAUGGCUCAAUAAAUUGUUCUUCUCUUGUUAA